rnacentral:rRNA from 1 species
AGAGUUUGAUCAUGGCUCAGGAUGAACGCUAGCGGCAGGCUUAAUGCAUGCAAGUCGAGGGGUAACAGGGGAGCUUGCUCUCGCUGACGACCGGCAAACGGGUGCGGAACACGUACAGAACCUUCCUUCGAGCGGGGAAUAGCCCAGAGAAAUUUGGAUUAAUACCCCAUAGUAUUACGGAGUGGCAUCACUUUGUAAUUAAAGAUUUAUCACUUGAAGAUGGCUGUGCGGCUGAUUAGGUAGUUGGCGGGGUAACGGCCCACCAAGCCUUCGAUCAGUAACUGGUGUGAGAGCACGACCAGUCACACGGGCACUGAGACACGGGCCCGACUCCUACGGGAGGCAGCAGUAAGGAAUAUUGGUCAAUGGACGAAAGUCUGAACCAGCCAUGCCGCGUGGAGGAUGAAGGCCCUCUGGGUUGUAAACUUCUUUUAUAUGGGACGAAAAAAGAUCUUUCUAGGUCACCUGACGGUACCAUAUGAAUAAGCACCGGCUAACUCCGUGCCAGCAGCCGCGGUAAUACGGAGGGUGCAAGCGUUAUCCGGAUUCACUGGGUUUAAAGGGUGCGUAGGUGGGUUGGUAAGUCAGUGGUGAAAUCUCCGAGCUUAACUUGGAAACUGCCAUUGAUACUAUCAGUCUUGAAUAUUGUGGAGGUCAGCGGAAUAUGUCAUGUAGCGGUGAAAUGCUUAGAUAUGACAUAGAACACCAAUUGCGAAGGC